rnacentral:rRNA from 1 species
CCUACGGGAUGCUGCAGUGAGGAAUAUUGGUCAAUGGACGAGAGUCUGAACCAGCCAAGUAGCGUGAAGGAUGACUGCCCUAUGGGUUGUAAACUUCUUUUAUAUGGGAAUAAAAUGUUCCACGUGUGGGAUUUUGUAUGUACCAUAUGAAUAAGGAUCGGCUAACUCCGUUCCAGCAGCCGCGGUAAUACGGAGGAUCCGAGCGUUAUCCGGAUUUAUUGGGUUUAAAGGGAGCGUAGGUGGAUUGUUAAGUCAGUUGUGACAGUUUGCGGCUCAACCGUAAAAUUGCAGUUGAAACUGGCAGUCUGGAGUACAGUAGAGGUGGGCGGAAUUCGUGGUGUAGCAGUGAAAUGAUUAGAUAUCACGAAGAACUCCGAUUGCGAAGGCAGUUCACUGGAAUGCAACUGACACUGAGGCUCGAAAGUGUGGGUAUCAAACAGGAUUAGAGACCCUGGUAGUC